CCAACUUAUAGAGGUCAGCUAUUGCCCAUUCUGGCGGACUAAAGCGCCAUUGGUUUGUGCAGCUAAACAAACGUUAACAAAUCAGGCUUCAGUACAAGGAUAAACAGAAGUUGUUCCCGUAUGCAACACUCAUUUUCUUCUCAGGGAACCGAGGUUACGUCAGUAACCAGAGCAUUUUAUUCUCAUGUCUCAUCCUGAAAACAAGUUCACUUCUGCUGAAAAGGUCCAAUGAAAAACUCCCUCCCAUCUUUAUAAACAUCCAGAAGUGAAAGGAAUUUCAGAGCUGCUGUUCAACACGACAGUUCAGAUCAGGAAAAGAAAAAAAUUCUAAUAUUAUCGGAGCUCUGCCCCUCACCUCUGCCCUGGACUCCUGGUUGGCCACACACAAGAAAAUACAAUUUUGACAAAAGAAAGAAGAACGGAGCAUCUGACUACUGGACCAUCAUCCUGCAGAUUCCCCUCCAAAUUAUUUAAGAAC